rnacentral:misc_RNA from 1 species
AGCACAAAAGCUUCCAAAUGUGAGGUGACAUUUUGCACUUCUAUGUAUGUAAAUAUUUUGAUAUGCAUUUGAUUUUGUAUAAUUUACCCUAGUCUAUGAGAUUACCUAUAGAAAGAUCUAUCAUCACCUUUGCUUUGUCAUUUUUAUUUUUUGCCAAUGGUUAUCAAGUCAAUUAACAAUUUAUUUGCUGUUUGAACGCAUUAAUUAUUUUCCAUAUACUCUUUCAGCAAUAUGUAGGUUUAGUAUUUUAUUAUAUUUAGGAAGUUUAAUUAGCUUUAUAUUCCUAAUUAUGAUUGAAUUUGGGUUCUUAAAUCCUAAUGUGAUAUAAACUCAUUAUGUUUUAGAGACAGACUUAUUAUGAUAUAGACUUUGAUAUGAU